rnacentral:lncRNA from 1 species
GGAAACAUGGUCAUAAUCUAAAUUUAGUUUAACAAUGAGGAAUAAAAUCCAAUAUCAGCUAAACAUCGUCUGAAAACCGUCUGAGAAAUCUCUACUAUAUGAUCAAAUAACAACUGUCUGAAAAUUGGGACAAGGCCUCCAGUAGACCAAAACCAUAAUAAAUAAUAACUGUCUGAAAGAAACUAGGCCUUCUAAAAUAUAGAAGGCUCACCAACUGGUUCUCUUGACUCCUGUCUGAUGAAAUCUACUGCUUAUCAAGACCCCUAGACUGUGCCUCAGAACCUAAAGGGAGAGAGGGGUCAAUACAAAUGUACUAGUACGCAAAGUAAUCCAAAAUAAAGCUUUUAUAUAAAUAAAAUAGUUAAGAGAUUGUCAUAAUCAUCACGAAAGAUAUCAUUUCAAAACACAUGGGCAUUUUUGAUAAUCAUAAAACUUUUCUGCAAUGCAAUUUCUGAUCUUUAUAUUACUUCUGAGUUAAACGGCACUCCCCUACAAUUCUGAUAUUCCACGGGCGGUAUGGAAUCCUUUAUUGACUCGGCGGGGAAUCCCCCUACCUGAGCGUGUCGCAAGGGUUGGAGAUUCUAAUUCUGAUACACCACACAUCACUAGGCUAGCGUAAUAUAAUAUACCCAGAUCGGCAAAUCACGGUUUGGGGCAACGAGUUAUCUGAACUCGUUCCUUCUUCGGGUAACCACCUAAUAUCUUUUUGUUCUCAAUUUUAUCCUGUUCUGAAUCAUGCAUUAUUCUAGUUUCAACAUCUAAAAAUCCUAACUUCAAACACGCAUUCUAUUCUGCUCUAAAUUACCAUGGCAUAAUCUGAAUUGGUGUUGUCACACCAAGACUUGCAAGUCCUAUUUCUGAAACAUAAUGCGUCAUGCAUGAUUCUUUCAUCAAAAACUAAAUUCAGACCAUGAAACAUGCAAAUAGUAUAAGAGAUUUCAUGUUCCGAAACAUAAGUCAAAACUAUGCAAGAAUUCUUCAAACAUAUGGUGGUCAUGUGCUUUUGAAAAAACCAUGCACUCUUUCAUUAUAUGCGUAUUCAACAUUUAUCAAUAUUAAUAACCCUCUCUUUUGAUUCCAAAAUCAUAUUCAAGUCAUAGUAUAAAUUAAGACGUUUCAUAUCAUGCUUUUCAAAAUACAUUCAAAACGGUUCAUAGCAUAUCAUAAGUAAAGGAAAAUCAUAACAAGAGAGGGAUUUCAUUAUAAUUCAUGAUCUCAAUUGAAUAUUCAUUCUUAAAUACAUUCAUACAUAUAUAUAGAAUUUCAAAUCAAUUUGGGGAAAGGCCUAAAGACUAAACUAUAUUAAUUAAAGCUUCUAAAACAUGCUAGUAAUGGUAAAAUUCAACCCUUUCCAUAAAAUCAUGAUUUUUAAAUCUUUAGCAUGAAUUAAAGAAUGUUUCUUUGCCAAUGAAUUUUUAGGAAAACCCCACGUACCUUAAAUUAUAAGAUCUGGAAAAUAAAACCAGGAUCAAGAUAGAUGAAAUCCAGAUCUUGAUUCGUUUCUUGAGUAUCUUCACUUAGGAAGAUGAAUUCUUGAUCUAUGGAAGGGAAGGAAACUUGAAUCUUGAUUUUUUUUCUUGGAGAUCUUGAACUUAAGGAUUGAUUUUCUUGAUUUCUUGAUCUUAGAGAAAAUCCUAGUUUUCAUCUUAUUCUUGAGUGUAGAGAGGAUUGAGAUGUUG